UAAGUUGCAGGGUAUAGACCCGAAACCCGGUGAUCUAGCCAUGGGCAGGUUGAAGGUUGGGUAACACUAACUGGAGGACCGAACCGACUAAUGUUGAAAAAUUAGCGGAUGACUUGUGGCUGGGGGUGAAAGGCCAAUCAAACCGGGAGAUAGCUGGUUCUCCCCGAAAGCUAUUUAGGUAGCGCCUCGUGAAUUCAUCUCCGGGGGUAGAGCACUGUUUCGGCAAGGGGGUCAUCCCGACUUACCAACCCGAUGCAAACUGCGAAUACCGGAGAAUGUUAUCACGGGAGACACACGGCGGGUGCUAACGUCCGUCGUGAAGAGGGAAACAACCCAGACCGCCAGCUAAGGUCCCAAAGUCAUGGUUAAGUGGGAAACGAUGUGGGAAGGCCCAGACAGCCAGGAUGUUGGCUUAGAAGCAGCCAUCAUUUAAAGAAAGCGUAAUAGCUCACUGGUCGAGUCGGCCUGCGCGGAAGAUGUAACGGGGCUAAACCAUGCACCGAAGCUGCGGCAGCGAC
rnacentral:rRNA from 1 species